rnacentral:tRNA from 1 species
UGUCUCAGAUGGUAUAGAAUCUGCCUGUGAUGCAGGAGACCCAGGUUUGAUCCCUGG